CCUACGGGAGGCAGCAGUGGGGAAUUUUGGACAAUGGGCGCAAGCCUGAUCCAGCAAUGCCGCGUGCAGGAUGAAGGCCUUCGGGUUGUAAACUGCUUUUGUACGGAACGAAACGGUCCUUUCUAAUACAAGGGGCUAAUGACGGUACCGUAAGAAUAAGCACCGGCUAACUACGUGCCAGCAGCCGCGGUAAUACGUAGGGUGCGAGCGUUAAUCGGAAUUACUGGGCGUAAAGCGUGCGCAGGCGGUUAUAUAAGACAGAUGUGAAAUCCCCGGGCUCAACCUGGGACCUGCAUUUGUGACUGUAUAGCUAGAGUACGGUAGAGGGGGAUGGAAUUCUGCGUGUAGCAGUGAAAUGCGUAGAUAUGCGGAGGAACACCGAUGGCGAAGGCAAUCCCCUGGACCUGUACUGACGCUCAUGCACGAAAGCGUGGGGAGCAAACAGGAUUAGAUACCCUGGUAGUCCACGCCCUAAACGAUGUCAACUGGUUGUUGGGUCUUCACUGACUCAGUAACGAAGCUAACGCGUGAAGUUGACCGCCUGGGGAGUACGGCCGCAAGGUUGAAACUCAAAUGAAAUUGACGG
rnacentral:rRNA from 1 species